CCGGCGCACGGGUGCGUAACGCGUAUGCAAUCUACCUUUUACAGAGGGAUAGCCCAGAGAAAUUUGGAUUAAUACCUCAUAGUAUAUAGCCCUGGCAUCAGGAUUAUAUUAAAGUCGCAACGGUAAAAGAUGAGCAUGCGUCCCAUUAGCUAGUUGGUAAGGUAACGGCUUACCAAGGCUACGAUGGGUAGGGGUCCUGAGAGGGAGAUCCCCCACACUGGUACUGAGACACGGACCAGACUCCUACGGGAGGCAGCAGUGAGGAAUAUUGGACAAUGGGCGCAAGCCUGAUCCAGCCAUGCCGCGUGCAGGAUGACGGUCCUAUGGAUUGUAAACUGCUUUUAGACGAGAAGAAACACUCCUUCGUGAAGGAGCUUGACGGUAUCGUAAGAAUAAGGAUCGGCUAACUCCGUGCCAGCAGCCGCGGUAAUACGGAGGAUCCAAGCGUUAUCCGGAAUCAUUGGGUUUAAAGGGUCCGUAGGCGGUUUAAUAAGUCAGUGGUGAAAGCCCAUCGCUCAACGGUGGAACGGCCAUUGAUACUGUUAGACUUGAAUUAUUAGGAAGUAACUAGAAUAUGUAGUGUAGCGGUGAAAUGCUUAGAGAUUACAUGGAAUACCAAUUGCGAAGGCAGGUUACUACUAAUUGAUUGACGCUGAUGGACGAAAGCGUGGGUAGCGAACAGGAUUAGAUACCCUGGUAGUCCACGCCGU
rnacentral:rRNA from 1 species